GCAAGAGGGAGAGAUGGAAAGAUGGAUCAAGAGGAAAAAACAGCAUGAGUGUGAGGGAGAAAAUAAAGAAGGGAAGAGAAGGAGGCAUGGAGGAAACCAACAAAAUACAGGUCAGACUCUUUGCCUGUCUGGUGUUUAUGUCCUAGGCUGAAGAAGAGAGGGAUGGAGGGAGGAAGUCAGGACGACUGGCCUGUUUGCUCAGAGCACAAAUGUCCCUCACUGUGGUCAUUUCAAUCUUUUUCUCUUUUCUCCCUCUAUCUUUUCCUCUCCUAACAUUCAGUUCAUGUCUUCCUCCCCUCUCGUUUUCACUCUUUCCACCCCCCUCUGCCUCUCUCUUUCUCUGUCCUUCUUUCCCACUGGGACGACUGCCAUGUGCUUUGGAGGCCCUCAGAGAUGUAACCACACAUUGGAGCUGUAGCAGGGGGUAGAAGAAGAAGAAGGCUCCAGAAAAAGCUCUGCUGGCGCUCCCAGCCAAGACACCAGCCAGAAACCAAACUGGAUGUGGUGAAACUGUCAAAUUACUUAAGGAAACUGCAGCAAAACCUCAGGAGACGAAAAACAGAAAGGGAGAGGAGUUUUUUUUUAUUUCAUUGUGUUGCAAAACAAGCAAAGCAAAAUGCUAUUUGUAAAAUAAUUUAUGCUUUAAAAAACUUGUAAGUGGGGAAGCAUGGCUAACAGUAUUCAUUUUCCGUGACUUUUUUUUCUUCUCAAAAGUACUUUGAAUUGGUCUAGGAUAAGAAUAGCCUUCUUCAUCCAGGUUGCUUUGCAAAAUAUUUGUAGUUUAGUUAAAAACGUAUUUAUGAACUGUAUCGUUCAAGUGAAAUCCAGCUGGGGACCUUUGUUGCAUGUCAUUGUACCCUUAUUUCAUGUCAGCUCUCUAAUAAAGAAAUAAAAUGUCCCCAAAAUACUAUUUAUUUUAAUGAAUUUAAACACUAAGGCCAUGUUCACAUUAAAUAAGUGUCUGUUUUUGGCCACACUAAGCCAUCAUCUUUGACCUCCGGAAAUAACUUUUUAAAAAGAUGCCUCCGAAAGUUGAGAAAUUUGAUGUAUGUACCAAUCAUGAUGCUGGAACAUAACAGACAACAUAAGCUUGUUUAAAGUUUAUUGUAAAACUGCAAACCUGUCUAAAUAGAAUAGUAUCACCAUGGCAAUUAUUUUGUGAAAGAAACCAACAAAACCACAUCCAUUUGCAACCCAGUCCCUAGAAAUUACGUUUAUAUAAUCCCAAUUUGUUUUGCCAGUUACGUUUUGGAAGAAACAUAAUUUAUGCCUAGAGUAUGUUCAGUGCCAACAUUUCUUUUAGUGUACUGUAGCAAGUGCUACUUUUUUGUACCACAUGCAAGUCAUAGGGAGUUCCCGGUGUGGAUGGAGGGUGAACAAAACACAAGACUUUUUAGGCACCAAAUGUACUUUGGUUAAGAUUAGGGAAAGAUCGGAGUUUCCAUUACUUGUCAUUAAAGUAAACACGUCGUGUCUUUUUCAGUGUUUAACCAAGACCACAGUCUUUCUCAAACCUUUACAAAGUACUGUCAGUGCCUGAAAAUAACCGUAAAAAAAUAUUAUAAUGCUUUAGUUGCUACGAGUGAAUAUUGUAUAGCAAGAGCGGAUAUUGUUGGAAAACAAAUUAAAUAUGUUGCAGAUAUUUUCCGUAUGGUAUAAACAGUUUGCGACUCGCCAGAUACAUUCAUUUUCAGUAAGAAAUUUAAUUCAGGUGACAUUAUUUUCUUUAUUUUCUUUCAAAUGUAUUUGCUGUUGCAAUUUAGUAGUAUGUAAACGUAAAUUCUAGGAGACCGGGUUGCCAAACUGAAGUUUGUCUAAAACUAUGGAUACUUGCAAUAAUACUGAUCAUCGGUUCAUCAUCCCCCCACACACACACACACAACAGAGAAACAAUGUAAUUCCUUUUACUGCUCCACUCAGCAUUGAGUGGUAAAAACAAAGCUCUCAGUGCCGUCGACUUUCAGCGACUGUAAUGAGAUAAAGAAGUUCUCAGUAGCAUCAGCUUCCUCAUUUCCCAUAACUUCAAAACACGCUCUUGCUCUGCUGGAGGUGCAGAUUGUUUGGGAUCUUUUUCCCCCUGUAUAUUUUAAUUUGUGAAAAGUUUACAAACAACUGGUUUAUGUACUUGUAUUUGCACUGAAAUGUAUAUGGGCUUUUAUUUUGACAUUGCUGCCUGUUAAACAGUUUCAUGUCAUUUAAGAAGAAGAUGUAAUAUGAAAACGUUGUAAGAGUUGACAUAAGGGAUGAAUCAGCUCAAGGCCUGAGUGGAUCAUUAGGCUGCUAUAAAUCACUGCUAUAUGUUUCAAGUGUUGCCAUUUGUGUUUGUGUGUGCAUGUGUGUCUGCCCUUACACUGUGCUCUGGCUCCACUGAGACUCCAUGCCCAGCAGUUAUAGACAGCAGACAUGGCUUUAACUUCCAAUGCCUCCAUCUCUUUCUCACACACACACACACGUGCAUGCACACACACACACACACACACACACACACACACACACACACACACACACACACACACACACACACACACACCUCCUCCUCACUCCAUAACAAACAGCAAGAGUCUGGGCCCCCAAGGCUUCCUGUAUCCUACACACAGCCAGCAAAUAAACACAAUCACAUUCAUUUACCCCUACACACACACACACACACACACACACACACACACACACACA